AUCUGCCUUGUACUGGGGGAUAGCCUUUAGAAAUGAAGAUUAACACCCAUAACAUAUUUAGGCCGCAUGUCUUUAUAUUAAAGGUUACGGUACAAGAUGAGUAUGCGUCCUAUUAGCUAGUUGGUAUGGUAACGGCAUACCAAGGCAACGAUAGGUAGGGGCCCUGAGAGGGGGAUCCCCCACACUGGUACUGAGACACGGACCAGACUCCUACGGGAGGCAGCAGUGAGGAAUAUUGGACAAUGGGGGGAACCCUGAUCCAGCCAUGCCGCGUGCAGGAAGACUGCCCUAUGGGUUGUAAACUGCUUUUGUACGGGAAGAAACCGCUCUACGCGUAGAGCCUUGACGGUACCGUAAGAAUAAGCAUCGGCUAACUCCGUGCCAGCAGCCGCGGUAAUACGGAGGAUGCAAGCGUUAUCCGGAAUCAUUGGGUUUAAAGGGUCCGUAGUGGGCCGGUCAGUCAGAGGUGAAAUCCUGCAGCUCAACUGUAGAACUGCCUUUGAUACUGCCGGUCUUGAAUCGUUGUGAAGCGGUUAGAAUAUGUAGUGUAGCGGUGAAAUGCAUAGAUAUUACAUAGAAUACCGAUUGCGAAGCAGAUCACUAACAGCGUAUUGACACUGAUGGACGAAAGCGUAGGUAGCGAACGGGAUUAGAUACCCCGGUAGUCUACGCCGUAAACGAUGGAUACUAGCUGUCCGGCUUCGGCUGGGUGGCUAAGCGAAAGUGAUAAGUAUCCCACCUGGGGAGUACG
rnacentral:rRNA from 1 species